GAUGAACGCUGGCGGCGUGCCUAAUACAUGCAAGUCGAGCGAACGGACGAGAAGCUUGCUUCUCUGAUGUUAGCGGCGGACGGGUGAGUAACACGUGGAUAACCUACCUAUAAGACUGGGAUAACUUCGGGAAACCGUAGCUAAUACCGGAUAAUAUUUUGAACCGCAUGAUUCAAAAGUGAAAGACGGUCUUGCUGUCACUUAUAGAUGGAUCCGCGCUGCAUUAGCUAGUUGGUAAGGUAACGGCUUACCAAGGCAACGAUGCAUAGCCGACCUGAGAGGGUGAUCGGCCACACUGGAACUGAGACACGGUCCAGACUCCUACGGGAGGCAGCAGUAGGGAAUCUUCCGCAAUGGGCGAAAGCCUGACGGAGCAACGCCGCGUGAGUGAUGAAGGUCUUCGGAUCGUAAAACUCUGUUAUUAGGGAAGAACAUAUGUGUAAGUAACUGUGCACAUCUUGACGGUACCUAAUCAGAAAGCCACGGCUAACUACGUG
rnacentral:rRNA from 1 species